AGAGGGGGAUAACAUUCUGAAAAGAAUGCUAAUACCGCAUGACAUAUCGGAACCACAUGGUUCUGAUAUCAAAGAUUUUAUCGCUUGAAGAUGGACUCGCGUCCGAUUAGUUAGUUGGUGAGGUAACGGCUCACCAAGACCGCGAUCGGUAGCCGGACUGAGAGGUUGAACGGCCACAUUGGGACUGAGACACGGCCCAGACUCCUACGGGAGACAGCAGUGGGGGAUAUUGCGCAAUGGGGGCAACCCUGACGCAGCAACGCCGCGUGAAGGAUGAAGGUUUUCGGAUUGUAAACUUCUUUUAUUAAGGACGAAAAAUGACGGUACUUAAUGAAUAAGCUCCGGCUAACUACGUGCCAGCAGCCGCGGUAAUACGUAGGGAGCAAGCGUUGUCCGGAUUUACUGGGUGUAAAGGGUGCGUAGGCGGCUUUGCAAGUCAGAUGUGAAAUCUAUGGGCUCAACCCAUAAACUGCAUUUGAAACUGUAGAGCUUGAGUGAAGUAGAGGCAGGCGGAAUUCCCCGUGUAGCGGUGAAAUGCGUAGAGAUGGGGAGGAACACCAGUGGCGAAGGCGGCCUGCUGGGCUUUAACUGACGCUGAGGCACGAAAGCGUAGGUAGCAAACAGGAUUAGAUACCCUGGUAGUCCACGCUGUAAACGA
rnacentral:rRNA from 1 species